GACGAACGCUGGCGGCGUGCUUAACACAUGCAAGUCGAACGGAAAGGCCCUGCUUUUGUGGGGUGCUCGAGUGGCGAACGGGUGAGUAACACGUGAGUAACCUGCCCUUGACUUUGGGAUAACUUCAGGAAACUGGGGCUAAUACCUGAUAGGAGCUCCUGCUGCAUGGGGGGGGUUGGAAAGUUUCGGCGGUUGGGGAUGGACUCGCGGCUUAUCAGCUUGUUGGUGGGGUAGUGGCUUACCAAGGCUUUGACGGGUAGCCGGCCUGAGAGGGUGACCGGCCACAUUGGGACUGAGAUACGGCCCAGACUCCUACGGGAGGCAGCAGUGGGGAAUAUUGCACAAUGGGCGGAAGCCUGAUGCAGCAACGCCGCGUGCGGGAUGAAGGCCUUCGGGUUGUAAACCGCUUUCGCCUGUGACGAAGCGUGAGUGACGGUAAUGGGUAAAGAAGCACCGGCUAACUACGUG
rnacentral:rRNA from 1 species